AGACCGUGCCUUUCAGGCAUCCUCUCCUAAAAACUUUUCGGCCGGUCGCAAGACCGGCCUUUUUUUUGGCCGCG
rnacentral:sRNA from 1 species